GAUGAACGCCAGCGGCAGGCCUAAUACAUGCAAGUCGAGGGGCAUCAGGGUGUAGUAAUACACUGCUGGCGACCGGCAAACGGGUGCGUAACACGUACACAACCUACCUUAUAGAGGGGGAUAGCCCAUAGAAAUGUGGAUUAAUACCCCGUAGUAUAUUGAGAAGGCAUCUUUUUGAUAUUAAAGAUUUAUUGCUAUAAGAGGGGUGUGCGUAUGAUUAGGUAGUUGGUAGGGUAAUGGCCUACCAAGCCGACGAUCAUUAGCUGAUGUGAGAGCAUGAUCAGCCACACGGGCACUGAGACACGGGCCCGACACCUACGGGAGGCAGCAGUAAGGAAUAUUGGACAAUGGACGGAAGUCUGAUCUAGCCAUGCCGCGUGAAGGAAGAAGGUCCUCUGGAUUGUAAACUUCUUUUAUAGGGGGCGAAAGUGGGUUUUUUUAAGCCUUUUGACAGUACCCUAUGAAUAAGCACCGGCUAACUCCGUGCCAGCCGCCGCGGUAA
rnacentral:rRNA from 1 species